AGCGUGAAGGAUGACUGCCCUAUGGGUUGUAAACUUCUUUUAUAAAGGAAUAAAGUCGGGUAUGCAUACCCGUUUGCAUGUACUUUAUGAAUAAGGAUCGGCUAACUCCGUGCCAGCAGCCGCGGUAAUACGGACGAUCCGAGCGUUAUCCGGAUUUAUUGGGUUUAAAGGGAGCGUAUAUGGAUGUUUAAUUCAGUUGUGAAAGUUUGCGGCUCAACCGUAAA
rnacentral:rRNA from 1 species